rnacentral:lncRNA from 1 species
CUAUUUAUCGUAGAGCCAUUCCCCUGUUCUCGAAAAUGACCUCUGAGUUUCUUGCAAGAAGCGGGAAUUGCUUAGUAAUAGAGUUAAUGGGUCCGUGUUGAUCAAGUCUGUUUUAUAUGUUACACUGUCAUUGCUAUAUUUUAUUUUGUUGUCAACGGGUCAGAAAUUAUUUCGCUGUUUCUUUUUUCCUUGACAAAUCUUUGCCGGUUUUAUAAUCUUUUAAUUUUUUUUACUAAUGAUUCUUUUCAAAUUUCGUCUAUGACCAUGCCUAAGGGAGUUUUUUUUUAUUUAUCUAAUUAGAUUAGUAAAAUCCCGUCGCCUGUUUUGUUCGCCUGAAACAAGUCCUGAAAAUGUUGAUACUGUGUACGGCCUCACACGGUGGAAAUUAUGCUUCGCCUUCAUAUUUGAUUCCUUUUUAGUCGAUCAGAGAUUUUUGUUGUUUUUUGGGGUUUUU